UUUUACCUCUAUCAAAAUGCGGCCGAUAUGGUCAGGAUUCGAUCCUGCGACCUUUGGGUCAACAGUCGAGCACCAUAACCACUAGACCACCGCGGCGGGUGCACAAAUAAUAAAAAAAGAGGCGACACACUUUCGUCCAUAUGUGCAUUUUCGUGCUAAAACAUAUCGCAAUGCCAAACCAACAAACUCAAGCACCUGCAAGUCUGCUGUUUGGAAGCAAAGAGAUGCACAGGAGUGAAGUGUAGGAGGCAUAACAAAAGCGAGACCCACAGUCUGAUUGUUUCUACUUGAUUAACUCACUGCAGAAAACAAACUCUCUGAUCCCAUGACUUAAAGUCGUGUCAUCUGAUGCACAGCCUCCAGGAUCUAACAGCCUUGUGGAUAACUGCAACAGCCAUUUCCUGUACGUGCGUGACAAGUUUUGUUU
rnacentral:lncRNA from 1 species